CCCUCCCCGAUCUAAUCCUGGUUUUGCAAUGCACAAGUUGAGAAACAUUUGUUACAGCGACAGCUAACUUAAGUAUAGUGGUUUCAAGUGGUACAGAAUCCACUGCUUUGAGCUGUGAAAUGCUUGACCCUCCCUGCUACACAAACAGAAAACAAAAUCAUUUCUACUCUAGGUUGGCCAAAAUGGUGGGGAGGAGAAGGAGGAGGAGGAAAAGAAAGCUGGUACUUAAACUGUUUCCAGAUUACAGAUGAAGAUUAUGUACUUUUGCUUCAUGUUAAUUAUGACAUAAAGUAACAUAACUAUAUUCAUGUUAUUUGUAUUCACUUUUAUUUUAAAAUUCAUGCAAAUGUAAAAUUGUAUAUAUUGCACCCAAAAAAAAAAAAAAAAAAAAAAAAGGAAACAAAAAUGAUGUGUAGACUGUUCGUUUUUCAUAGUGAAUAAAUUAGAUUCUUAUAGUCA
rnacentral:lncRNA from 1 species